rfam:Oryza glumipatula chromosome 6, whole genome shotgun sequence.
AAUAAGUAUAACAAUUAGUAUCUUUAUCUAACUUUAAUCGUCCAUCUUAUUUUAAGGUUUUAUGAUUAGUGCUUUUAUUGUUAUUAGAUUAUAAAACAUGAAUAAUACUUUAUACGUAACUUAUGUUUUUUUAGUUUUUCAAAAAACAAUAAAUAAGAUGGACGAUUAAAAUAGAACAUGGCUAUGUUUAUU